AAACCUAAUUGGCCUGGAGAAGAGCUUGCGUCUGAUUAGCUAGUUGGUGGGGUAAGAGCCUACCAAGGCGACGAUCAGUAGCUGGUCUGAGAGGAUGAGCAGCCACACUGGGACUGAGACACGGCCCAGACUCCUACGGGAGGCAGCAGUGGGGAAUAUUGGACAAUGCUCGCAAGAGUGAUCCAGCCAUGCCGCGUGCAGGAAGACGGCCCUAUGGGUUGUAAACUGCUUUUGAACUAGAGAAAACCCUCCUACGUGUAGGAGGCUGAUAGUAUAGUUAGAAUAAGCAUCGGCUAACUUCGUGCCAGCAGCCGCGGUAAGACGAAGGAUGCAAGCGUUAUCCGGAUUCAUUGGGUUUAAAGGGAGCGUAGGUGGAUUUGUAAGUCAGUGGUGAAAGCCGGCAGCUUAACUGUCGAACUGCCAUUGAUACUGCGGAUCUUGAGUAUGGUUGCUGUGGGCGGAAUAUGACAUGUAGAGGUGAAAUUCAUAGAGAUGUCAUAGAACACCGAUUGCGAAGGCAGCUCACAAAGCCAUUACUGACACUGAGGCUCGAAAGUGCGGGGAUCAAACAGGAUUAGAUACCCUGGUAGUCCGCACUGUAAACGAUGAUUACUCGCUGCUGGGAGGUAACUUUCAGUGGCUAAGCGAAAGCGAUAAGUAAUCCACCUGGGGAGUACGCCGGCAACGGUGAAACUCAAAGGAAUUGACGGGGGCCCGCACAAGCGGAGGAGCAUGUGGUUUAAUUCGAUGAUACGCGAGGAACCUUACCAGGGCUUGAAAGUUNNGGAAUAUCUUUGAAAGAGGAUAGUCAGCAAUGANCCGAAACUNGNNGCUGCAUGGCUGUCGUCAGCUCGUGNCGUGAGGUGUUNGGGUUAAGUCCCGCAACGAGC
rnacentral:rRNA from 1 species